UUUCUAAUUAUCAUUAAUAAGAAA
rnacentral:snRNA from 1 species